rnacentral:misc_RNA from 1 species
CGCGUAAUCACAAUACUCGUAACGAAGUGAAUCUGACAUCGUUGUUGUUUAUUAUUUCAACAGAUUCCUUAGCAUUUCGACUCGAGAUAGAUUUUAUCCAUUUAUCACAAACUCCCGGAUGCAGAAGCCGAGUCUGAUGCUGCUCUUUGCUUAUUGAUGAUUGGUAGAAGGUUAACGACUUAUUGACCAUGACUCAGUGGAUGUGUGAAAUCUUUGAGUAGGAAACAAGAACUACAGUACAAUAAAUGGAAUGAAUUGAAUGAUCAAUAAAAGGGAAGUUCUGGUUGAAAUGCAGUAUUAAUAAGGAAAGAAAAUGAUAUUUAAACACCAGACAAUUUAAUUGAUGAAUGCAUUGCACAGCUUAUAGUAGCAAGCAUAAUCUGUUUUACUGAAUGUUUACUGAUUUGGAGAAAUUCAUUUGAUUUAUUGUUGUCCAAUGGUGAACACUCAUCAUCCACAAUCGCAAUGAUAGGAAGAGCCGACAUCGAAGGAUCCAAAAGUGACGUUGUUGCAAACAACAUAUAUACACACAUAUACAUGCAACACCCAUAUAUUGAUUUUGAAUUGGCAUCAUUAAGUAUGAAUUAAAACAUAACCUUAAGUUUAUCGUUCUUUAAUGUCUGGGAAAUAUUCUAAUAAGGAUAUUUUUCAGAAUGCUUCUAGUCCUGAUGAAAUGUUUUCUAAAUGCAACAUGGCUUCUUCCGAUGCGGUUGACUUAAUUGCUGAUGUAAGCAAUCAGACAUUUCAGUCUGAAAAACCUUAUAAGUGUAGCUACUGUAAAAAAUCUUUUACUCAAUCUGGCCAUUUGACCACACAUGUUCGUACACACACAGGAGACCGGCCAUUCCAGUGUCCUUACUGCCCAAAAGCUUUCACUGACCGAGGCAAUCUUAACACGCAUAUUCGUACACAUACAGGUGAGAAACCAUUCAAAUGUGAAUUAUGUGAGAAGGCUUUCACAUUUCAUAUUCAAUUGAGUCGUCACAAAAAAGUUUGCAUGUCCAGGAAUACAAAUUCCACAUCAAGUUUUCAGAUGGAUGAGAAGAACAAUAAUUAUAACACCACCAUCGCUGUUGCUAAUCAAUCUCAAUUUAAUAAUUUUACAUCUGAUAUCAGUCCUAUGCAAAGUGCUCCUUUUAGUGAAAAUAGCUUAUAUUCAGCAGCAUCUAGUUUUAUCUUAGGUGAGUGUUCUGAUGAUAUGCAACAACCCAGUAAUUUGUUUUUCAGUAAAAAUGAAACAAACAGUACAAUCUCCAGUUUUCAUAAUGAACCAGCAUCAUCAAAUAACAGGUACAGUGAUACAAAAGAUUCCUCUUCCAUUUGUGGCUCUUCGAAAGAUCUACGUGAAAUUUCUGCUGACGCAGUUGUGUCCAGUUGUGGUUUGUUAAAUACAGAAACUUACGAUUUGUAUAAGUCUGAGGAUGAAUCCUUGCCAUACACAAAUGUCUCAAAACAGGAGAAACAUAAAUUCCAGCCCCAAACCAAUAGUAUAUAUGUAACUGCUAAUAUGACUAACGCUGGUUUUAAUAGUCAACAGAUUGAAGAAAGUGGAACUAGCUCCAUACAGAAAAAUGCUUGUCUCUCUGAAAAUAUCAAGUAUGAUAAAAUUAUUUAUAUUGAUUCUGAUUCACCUAAUGGCACUUCUGAAGAAGUUAAAUCCACUUUUGAUGCUAACACAGCGCCAGAAAAUGAAGUUCCUUCAUCCAAUCCUUCAGAUCUUCUAAGUAGGAGCGACAAGACAACGACUGACAUGAGGAACAAAGAGGAUUUAAUUAAUAGCAACACAAUUUCAAAGAAACCUGUCCAUCGAAAAUCUAUUUUUUGUGAUGUAUGCAAAAAGACUUUCCAUCAUUCUUACCAGUUAGUAAUACACUUGAAUUCUCAUAAUUGCCAAAGAAAUUUCGAGUGCAAAUUUUGUGGCAAAACAUUCCAGCAAGUUGCUCGUCUCAAUUCUCAUUUACACACACACACUGGCGCCAAACCUUAUAAAUGUUCAUUUUGUGGUAAAGGGUUUGCUGAUCGGAGCAACCUUAAGUCUCAUCGUCGUCUUCACACAGGUGAAAAGCCAUUUAAAUGUACAUUGUGUUUUCAAGAGUUCACAUUUCACAUCCAACUUAAUCGCCACAAACGUAAUUGCAAAGCAGCUGAGCCUGUUGUAUUGGAGAGCAACACAUCAUUUAGUAGUUCUGAUAAUAAUAAUAAUAAUAAUAAUGAUGUUGAUACAUUACUACCAACCAUCUCAAUGCCAUCCCAUGUUUACAACAUUAACAAUAGCGGUACCAGUUACAGUAUCCAACUUAAUCCAGAUUUCAUAAAAAACUGUGAUAAUUCCAAAACUCUUAAUAGCUCAGUGAAUUCUUCCUGUGAAGUAGAUUCUACUUUAAAUCAAUCAGAUUUGAUAGAGUCUGGUAGCAAAGAUAACAUUGUUGAUCUUACUGAUGAAACACCGGAUGAUAGUACUGAUGAGCAAAAUAUCUGUUUGAAACCCUGGAAAACUACUGAUAGAAACCUUUUAUCCAGGUUGUCUACAUUCGAUGGUAAACUUCAAGAUAAUACUUCUAACCAACAGAUAGAGUUCCCAUCAGAGUUUUCUAAAGACUGCUUAAGGCAAUGUCACAUUGACUUGUCUGAGGAUUAUGAUAACGACCUGACGCCUACUACCAAUUGCAAUAGUAAUACCUCUGACUAUAGUUCUUUGUCUUCGGGAUCAAAAUCAGAGGAAGCUUUGUUAACUUGCCAAUAUUGUUACAAGUCAUUUUCUAAGAAGGAUGACUUAGACAAACAUUGUAAGAAAAGCCAUAACAAAUUUCCUUUAGAAACCUUCAAAGUGAAAGCCAAUUUGAGCAACAUGAAAAAGCCUUAUACUUGCAAAUUUUGUCCCAAAUCAUUUCUACAGCCUAGUCAUUUAAAUGCCCAUAUUAGGACUCACACUGGAGAUAAACCUUUCACUUGUCAGUUUUGUAAUAAGGCUUUCUCCAAUCAAAGCAAUCUUAACACUCAUAUGAGGCUGCACACUAAAGUGAAACCCUUCAAAUGCCUUAGCUGUAACCAGUCCUUUAUGUUUCACAUUCAGUUGCAACGGCAUAAAAUCAAAUGCUUUGGCAACAAGAACCUCUCCAUACAAUAUCCAUCCAAAGAGAGAAUAUCAACUAUUUCACUUAUCUCUCAAGCAGACAAACUUUCCAGUUUUGAACAAAGUGGAACAGAAUUAAGAAACAAAGAGUCAAGACACUUCAUCUCAUCCGUUAAAGAUGUCAAUGGUUCUUCAGACAGUUGUUAUAUGGAAAACCCUUCAAACGCUACAUUAUCUCUUCAGGUUAACACAGCCAACAAAACAGUAACGACAAAUGAUUGUGAAACACAUUACGGCAAUUCUUUGAGUCUUGGUGUAAUGGAAGAGAAUCAAGUGGAAGCUGCUGCUGAUGUUGGUGAAACUAAAGAAAAUGUAGCAGAAAUCAAAGAAGAAUGGAAAAAACACAAUAUGCCGAUGAGAACUGAAAUAAAUCAGUCUGAUACAGCUGAUUCAUUACCAAGAAGUAAGUCUACUACUGAAGAGUUAACGCUUACUGAAAAAUCCAUUGUAGAAUCUACACCGAUAGAUGGGUCUUUAGAACUGCCUGAUAAAAAUCAAAUUCCUUUGCAGUCGAAUUUGCUGAGUUAUCAUCCUGGGAAAAAGUUAUUUCGUUGUAAAUAUUGCAAAAGGAAUUUUCUUGGACUUUAUCUACUGUCGGUGCAUCUGCGAUCCCACAACUUCGCAACGAGUGAGAAAAUGUUUGAAUGUGCUUUAUGUAAAAAGUCUUUUCAGAAGGCUGGCCAGCUUAAUAGCCAUGUACGUACGCACACGGGAGUCAAGCCAUUUUUGUGUCAGUAUUGUGGGAAAGCCUUUGCUGACCGUAGUAACUUGAAUACUCACAGGAGAACUCACACUGGGGAAAAACCAUUUAAAUGUUUAUUUUGUGGAAAGGCUUUUACAUUUCAUAUCCAGCUUAGUAGACAUAAAAGAGUCUGUAAGCCUUCAGCAUUAGCACAGUUACAUCAUCAAUAUCAGAAACGAACUAAUUCUUUGCAAAUUCCUCUUCAAAAUACUGUAGAACAAACUAAUUUGGCAAAUAAUUCCAGUGUUUCAAAGAAACUUGGCCAAUCUGGAGAUAUAUUUUUCAGUGACAAAACAACUGAUCACAUACUCAACAGUAAUGAAAUCCAUUUUGAGGAUCCUUUAUCAGUUCAGGUUUACAAUAACCAAGCUGAAUCAACAAUGCCUUAUAGUACCACUAGUCUACAGGAAGAAGCUGAAUUACUGGAUUGUAACAACAGAGCUGUUACUGGCAGAAAGUCAGACAAUUUGCUCCUUCCAAGACCUGGUAACAGUUUAGAACAGGUUGAACAAAAGCCAAAUUUUAAUUAUCAGGAUGCAUCCUCUAGAAAAGCUGUGGAAUUAAAAGCUAUCUCUACUCAACAGAACUUAACAGAAAAUCAAUGUAAUCCAGAUGUAUAUAGCAAUAAUGAUCCAGAAAAUGAUAUCAUAAAAUCAUCCCGAUUUUCUGAAGACCAAGAUUCUAUAAAUAAUUCUUUGUCAACUUUUGCAUGUAACAAAAUAUCAGGGACCGCUAACAAAAACUAUUGCAAUGAUAAUGUUUCCCGAAUGAGUUCCUUAACACAAUCUGGAGAGGAAGCCAGUUCUUUUGUGAAACCAGGCAUAUUUUGCAAUGAUGAUGACAAUGUUGAAAUGAGAUCCAAUGUCUCAUCAUACACUCAAAGAAGCAACGAGAGUUUGGCCGCAAAUAGCAGUUUGUUUCCUUGUUGUUACUGUAGUAAGGUUUUCAAACUAGUGACUACACUAGCAGUUCAUAUCAGAUUACAUACAGGAAGUAAAGUAUACGAGUGUGAAUUUUGUGGUGAAACUUUUUACCGAUUUACAGACUUAGCAGUUCACUUGAAGCUUCAUCCCCAAGAAAUAUUGUUUCAGUGCGAAUAUUGUGAUAUGACGUUUUCACGUGAUUGUCAUUUGCGACUCCAUGAAAAGAGCCACUUGUUAAAGGAUGGAGUGCUUCAGGAGAGCCUAGCUCAGAAAACCUUGAAGCAGAAAUUAAAUAAUGACAAUAAUUUCAUUUGCCCUAUAUGUUAUUGUAUGUUUCCCAGCAGUUUUACUUUAGACAACCAUUUAACGACUCACACAACUGGGAAAUUAUAUCGGUGCCAAACAUGCAAACAAGCUUUUACAUUUCCUCAGCCUUUCAAAAGGCACAUUCAAGAAUGCCAACAAUUAUUGAAAGAUCAAGAAUCUACUUUUAUCCUGGAGCCAAUUUCAACCCAGAACUCUCAGCCAUUUUCCUCCCAAAAUGUCUUCAGAAAGGAUUUGUUGGCUAAUAAGACUUCUCGAGAACAGCCACAACCUGUUGGUUUAUUUUCAAAUACUGGAAGACUCUCCUCUUUAGCAAUGGAAUUAUGGAAGCUGCCUCCCAAUCUUGAGACCAUAAACCAGCAUAAAAAGCAAUUCACAGACAAUAACGGUUCAGUUCUCUUAGCUCCUUCAGAACUUGAUGGUAAUGAAAACUUAGUGUGUAAUUAUUGUGAACGUAAAUUUUCUUCUUGCAAAUCACUUAGUUUACAUCUUAAAACGCAUAAUGCAAAUUUUAGCACCAAGAAAGUGCAUCGUUGUGAAUUUUGUAUGAAACUCUUUUUCCAGCAGUUGUUACUUGAUAAACAUAAAAGAACUCAUCAUAACCAAAAGUCGUAUAAUUUAAAGCGAGAAAGUCUUAAAUGUCGAUUCUGUGCAAAGACAUUUCAACAGUCGAGCCACCUGAAAGCUCAUAUUCGACACCAUACAGGUGACAAGCCUUUCAAGUGCCAAUACUGUGGUAAAGCUUUCUCUGAUCGCAGUAAUUUGAAUACUCACAUCCGUACACACACAGGAGAAAAACCAUUCAAAUGUACCAAAUGUAGGUGUGCAUUUACAUUUCACAUCCAGUUGACACGGCAUAAAAGAAUUUGUCAGAACCCCAGAGAUGAGGCAAACUCAGCUACAGUCUCUGGAGAUAGACAACAACACGAGGAAUCUAGAUUAUCUCAGGCAACAAAUUCCUUUAACCAUUGUUUCCCAGAAUCAACAUCAAGUUGUAGUAUUCCUGAUGUAGCAAACGAACAUUCUGAAAAUAGAAAUCUUGAAAGUAAUUUAAGAAUUCCGUUGUCCCCUUUGUUUUUCAGUAGUAAUAUUUUAGAAGAUAAUAACUUAAAUCAACCAAGAAUUUUGACUUCAUCCAAUUCAACAGAGCAGCUUGCUUCAAAGCUACCAGAGACAUCAUCCAAAUGUGAUUCCAGAUUAUCUGACAGAGUUUCAACUACAAAAAGUAGCAGUCAUUCUCCGACUAACCUUCAUUCAAAUCAUUAUAACACUGAAACCGAUGUUUUGGAUUGCAAACCUAUCAUUGAAGUAGAUGCUAAUAUUUAUUUGCAACCCACGGUCAGUAUAAAAUCUGAACCUUUUCCCCCAGAUGAACAACUUUUAGUUUGUCCACCUGAGAUCACUUCUAACAUCUCUAACAUACCAUUUAAUGUGAAUACAGAUAAAAUGUUUAAUGAUACGAGAAAUACUUCAGAGUUGGAGAAAUUUCCAGAUUGUGCUAAAGAAGAAGAUUUGAAACCAGAUAUUGUAUCGGUAGAUUAUGUUAAAUGUCAAGAGGAUGAGAUUGGUAAAAGACAAAUUUCUACAAUGGAUUCUGUUCAAGUGGAAGAAAAUCCACUUUCAAUAAAUAAUUCAUUUUCAGACCCAAAUCAUUCCACAUGCAGUAGUGCAGCUAAUAAGUCUUUUGAACAUGUGGAAGAUGUUUCUAAUACAAAUGAGAAUGAGAACUCUUCUGGUAAACCUCUUCACAGUUCUACUGCAGUUGAUUGUCUAUUUGGUAGUGAUGUGACUAUUCCAGAUAAAGAUAACACACAUUCUUUGAAACCAAACCACUUAGAUGAAACAUAAUUCACCAUAAAACUCACUCUUCAUAACCUAAAACAAUGAAAUUAUAUUCUGUUGUGUCUGGGGAGAAAGACACAAAACUCAAACAACACCACACGACUGUUGUUUAUGGUAUUAUUGAGUGUAUUAAAUUUUGUGUUGAUUUUAGUUCUGCUGAUAUCACACUUCACGGAUACAACCCAUUUGUACGAUUAUAAGCAAAAACCGUCCAAUCUUUUCAAAGUGUAUCACUUUCUCUCUCUCUCUUUACAAAACAAUCUUCAUUACGAAAUGUGAAGUGAGAUCAAAACGUUCUGAGAUAAAAUUUAUUGCAGAAUGCUUCAAAAGCUUUUUCAUCUUCUGUUCAUUUUUAUAAUUUUCACACAAUUUUUUUCAUUUUUAUACAAAGAAAAAUAAACAUAUCAAUAUAUCAAUCAGUCACACAUAUUUUAUACAUUUAUCAAUUGUUUUUUUUUCCCCAGAUUAAAUUAGCACAUAGACUUGUCUAUGUAUUACAAUAAAGCUGAAUUGAAUUUUCAUUUUA